ensembl:lncRNA
CCCUUCUCUGUGACUCAUUUGCGUCUCAGCUUCUUCAGGCUCAUACAUUUUUCCUACCAGAUGAUGUCUCUGCGUUGGGCUCUCAGAUUAGUUUGGCUUAUUUGCGCAGUAUCACCUGUUUAUGGGUUUUCAUGUCAUGAAAAGCAGGAUUUGGAGGGGGAAAUGAAUGGAUGUGGCAGCAAUCAAAGCGCUCUUUUUACAGCUUUGAUGACUGUCCAAACCACUGACCAAAAUGUGCUGGCUUGCUGCGGUGACGAGGCCUACAAUCCAGUCAAUGAAAUAUGCUGUGACUCAGCCAUCAGGGUGAAACCUGCUGUUAAGAGCAAGUGUUGUGGUAAAGAGGCCAUCAAUGAGGAUAAGCAGUUGUGCUGUCAAAUCAACAAGACGAUAACAAGGACUUCAAGUCUAUACCAGUGCUGUGGAAGUGAAGAGUAUAACACUGAGACUCACUGUUGUGAUAGCGAAUUACAAAUCAAACCACUCGGUAAUAGUUCCAUAACCUCAAGAAGACUGACUGAUGACUGUGAACCAGAAAGCAAAAUCUGGACUGAUCAG